rnacentral:rRNA from 1 species
UACGGGGGGAGCAAGCGUUGUUCGGAUUUACUGGGCGUAAAGGGCGCGUAGGCGGCACCGCAAGUCGACUGUGAAAUCUCCGGGCUUAACCCGGAAAGGUCAGCCGAUACUGCGGGGCUAGAGUGCAGAAGGGGCAACUGGAAUUCUCGGUGUAGCGGUGAAAUGCGUAGAUAUCGAGAGGAACACCUGCGGCGAAGGCGGGUUACUGGGCUGAUGACUGACGCUGAUGCGCGAAAGCCAGGGGAGCAAACGGG